UACGUAGGGUGCGAGCGUUAAUCGGAAUUACUGGGCGUAAAGCGUGCGCAGGCGGUUUUGUAAGUCAGAUGUGAAAUCCCCCGGGCUCAACCUGGGAACUGCGUUUGAAACUACAAGGCUAGAGUGUAGCAGAGGGGGGUAGAAUCCACGUGUAGCAGUGAAAUGCGUAGAGAUGUGGAGGAAUACCAAUGGCGAAGGCAGCCCC
rnacentral:rRNA from 1 species